UACGGAGGGUGCAAGCGUUGUUCGGAAUUACUGGGCGUAAAGCGCGUGUAGGUGGUCGAGUAAGUCGAAUGUGAAAGCCCCGGGCUCAACCCGGGAAGUGCAUCCGAAACUGCUCGACUAGAGUCCCGGAGAGGAAGGCAGAAUUCCCAAUGUAGGGGUGAAAUCCGUAGAUAUUGGGAGGAAUACCGGUGGCGAAGGCGGCCUUCUGGACGGUGACUGACACUCAGACGCGAAAGCGUGGGGAGCAAACAGG
rnacentral:rRNA from 2 species